UACGGAGGGUGCGAGCGUUGUCCGGAAUCACUGGGCGUAAAAGGCGCGUAGGCGGCCUGAUAAGUAGGGGGUGAAAUCCUGUGGCUUAACUGCAGGGCUGCCUCCUAGACUGUUAGGCUCGAGCACGGUAGAGGCAGAUGGAAUUCCCGGUGUAGCGGUGGAAUGCGUAGAGAUCGGGAAGAACAUCGGUGGCGAAGGCGGUCUGCUGGGCCGUUGCUGACGCUGAGGCGCGACAGCGUGGGGAGCAAACAGG
rnacentral:rRNA from 1 species